CUGUAUUUCAAUAUUUAUUUUCCAUAUCUGCUUCAGGCACCUGGCCCAUCUGUCAAGACUAUACACAAACAUCUCAAGCACAAAAACAGUCUUCCUCUUUGAAAGCUUGCCCAGUCUUCAGAUUGCUCUAUUAGAAAGUUAUUUGUUAGCCAGGUGCAGUGAUGCAUGCCUGUGGUCCCAGCUACUUGGGAGGCUGAGGCAGGUGGA
rnacentral:lncRNA from 1 species